rnacentral:tRNA from 1 species
GUAGUGGUGGCCGUGUGGUCAAGGCGAUGGACUAGAAAUCCAUUGGGAAGCUUCCCGCGCAGGUUCGAAUUCUGCCGACUACG